rnacentral:rRNA from 1 species
UUAAGCGACUAAGCGUACACGGUGGAUGCCCUGGCAGUCAGAGGCGAUGAAGGACGUGCUAAUCUGCGAAAAGCGUCGGUAAGGUGAUAUGAACCGUUAUAACCGGCGAUGUCCGAAUGGGGAAACCCAGUGCAAUUCGUUGCACUAUCGUUAACUGAAUACAUAGGUUAACGAGGCGAACCGGGGGAACUGAAACAUCUAAGUACCCCGAGGAAAAGAAAUCAACCGAGAUUCCCCCAGUAGCGGCGAGCGAACGGGGAGCAGCCCAGAGUCUGAAUCAGCUUGUGUGUUAGUGGAACGGUCUGGAAAGUCCGACGGUACAGGGUGAUAGUCCCGUACACCAAAAUGCACAGGCUGUGAACUCGAAGAGUAGGGCGGGACACGUGGUAUCCUGUCUGAAUAUGGGGGGACCAUCCUCCAAGGCUAAAUACUCCUGACUGACCGAUAGUGAACCAGUACCGUGAGGGAAAGGCGAAAAGAACCCCGGCGAGGGGAGUGAAAAAGAACCUGAAACCGUGUACGUACAAGCAGUGGGAGCACCUUCGGGUGUGACUGCGUACCUUUUGUAUAAUGGGUCAGCGACUUAUAUUCUGUAGCAAGGUUAACCGUAUAGGGGAGCCGCAGGGAAACCGAGUCUUAACUGGGCGUUAAGUUGCAGGGUAUAGACCCGAAACCCGGUGAUCUAGCCAUGGGCAGGUUGAAGGUUGGGUAACACUAACUGGAGGACCGAACCGACUAAUGUUGAAAAAUUAGCGGAUGACUUGUGGCUGGGGGUGAAAGGCCAAUCAAACCGGGAGAUAGCUGGUUCUCCCCGAAAGCUAUUUAGGUAGCGCCUCGUGAAUUCAUCUUCGGGGUAGAGCACUGUUUCGGCUAGGGGGUCAUCCCGACUUACCAACCCGAUGCAAACUACGAAUACCGAAGAAUGUUAUCACGGGAGACACACGGCGGGUGCUAACGUCCGUCGUGAAGAGGGAAACAACCCAGACCGCCAGCUAAGGUCCCAAAGUCAUGGUUAAGUGGGAAACGAUGUGGGAAGGCACAGACAGCCAGGAUGUUGGCUUAGAAGCAGCCAUCAUUUAAAGAAAGCGUAAUAGCUCACUGGUCGAGUCGGCCUGCGCGGAAGAUGUAACGGGGCUAAACCAUGCACCGAAGCUGCGGCAGCGACACUAUGUGUUGUUGGGUAGGGGAGCGUUCUGUAAGCCUGCGAAGGUGACCUGUGAGGGUUGCUGGAGGUAUCAGAAGUGCGAAUGCUGACAUAAGUAACGAUAAAGCGGGUGAAAAGCCCGCUCGCCGGAAGACCAAGGGUUCCUGUCCAACGUUAAUCGGGGCAGGGUGAGUCGACCCCUAAGGCGAGGCCGAAAGGCGUAGUCGAUGGGAAACAGGUUAAUAUUCCUGUACUUGGUGUUACUGCGAAGGGGGGACGGAGAAGGCUAUGUUAGCCGGGCGACGGUUGUCCCGGUUUAAGCAUGUAGGCUGGUUAUCCAGGCAAAUCCGGAUAAUCAAGGCUGAGGUGUGAUGACGAGGCACUACGGUGCUGAAGUAACAAAUGCCCUGCUUCCAGGAAAAGCCUCUAAGCAUCAGGUAACAUCAAAUCGUACCCCAAACCGACACAGGUGGUCAGGUAGAGAAUACCAAGGCGCUUGAGAGAACUCGGGUGAAGGAACUAGGCAAAAUGGUGCCGUAACUUCGGGAGAAGGCACGCUGGUGUGUAGGUGAAGUCCCUGCGGAUGGAGCUGAGACCAGUCGAAGAUACCAGCUGGCUGCAACUGUUUAUUAAAAACACAGCACUGUGCAAACACGAAAGUGGACGUAUACGGUGUGACGCCUGCCCGGUGCCGGAAGGUUAAUUGAUGGGGUUAUCCGUAAGGAGAAGCUCUUGAUCGAAGCCCCGGUAAACGGCGGCCGUAACUAUAACGGUCCUAAGGUAGCGAAAUUCCUUGUCGGGUAAGUUCCGACCUGCACGAAUGGCGUAAUGAUGGCCAGGCUGUCUCCACCCGAGACUCAGUGAAAUUGAACUCGCUGUGAAGAUGCAGUGUACCCGCGGCAAGACGGAAAGACCCCGUGAACCUUUACUAUAGCUUGACACUGAACAUUGAGCCUUGAUGUGUAGGAUAGGUGGGAGGCUUUGAAGCGUGGACGCCAGUCUGCGUGGAGCCAACCUUGAAAUACCACCCUUUAAUGUUUGAUGUUCUAACGUUGGCCCCUUACCGGGGUUGCGGACAGUGUCUGGUGGGUAGUUUGACUGGGGCGGUCUCCUCCCAAAGCGUAACGGAGGAGCACGAAGGUUAGCUAAUCCUGGUCGGACAUCAGGAGGUUAGUGCAAUGGCAUAAGCUAGCUUGACUGCGAGCGUGACGGCGCGAGCAGGUGCGAAAGCAGGUCAUAGUGAUCCGGUGGUUCUGAAUGGAAGGGCCAUCGCUCAACGGAUAAAAGGUACUCCGGGGAUAACAGGCUGAUACCGCCCAAGAGUUCAUAUCGACGGCGGUGUUUGGCACCUCGAUGUCGGCUCAUCACAUCCUGGGGCUGAAGUAGGUCCCAAGGGUAUGGCUGUUCGCCAUUUAAAGUGGUACGCGAGCUGGGUUUAGAACGUCGUGAGACAGUUCGGUCCCUAUCUGCCGUGGGCGCUGGAGAAUUGAGGGGGGCUGCUCCUAGUACGAGAGGACCGGAGUGGACGCAUCACUGGUGUUCGGGUUGUCAUGCCAAUGGCACUGCCCGGUAGCUAAAUGCGGAAGAGAUAAGUGCUGAAAGCAUCUAAGCACGAAACUUGCCCCGAGAUGAGUUCUCCCUGAGACUUUAAGUCUCCUGAAGGAACGUUGAAGACGACGACGUUGAUAGGCCGGGUGUGUAAGCGCAGCGAUGCGUUGAGCUAACCGGUACUAAUGAACCGUGAGGCUUAACCUU